CGUCGUCGUCGUCGUCGCUGCCGAACCUGCUCUUCCUGCA
rnacentral:ribozyme from 1 species